rnacentral:rRNA from 1 species
UCGAGAAUAUUUUGCAAUGCCCGAAAGGGUGACAAUGCGACGCCGCGUGAGCGAUGAAGGCCUUCGGGUUGUAAAGCUCUGUCAGCUCGGACGAAAGCAAAAUCACUAAUAAUGGUUUUGUUUGACGGUACGAGCAGAGGAAGCCACGGCUAACUCCGUGCCAGCAGCCGCGGUAAUACGGAGGUGGCAAGCGUUGUUCGGAUUUACUGGGUGUAAAGGUCAUGUAGGCGUCUUAUUAAGUCGGGUGUGAAAUCCCUUGGCUCAACCAAGGAACUGCACUCGAUACUGGCAAGAUUGAGUACGGGAGAGGAAAGCGGAAUUCCGGAAGUAAGGGUGAAAUCUGUAGAUAUCCGGAAGAACACCAUUAGCGAAGGCGGCUUUCUGGUCCGAUACUGACGCUGAAAUGAGAAAGCUAGGGGAGCAAACAGGAUUAGAUACCCUGGUAGUCCUAGCUGUAAACGAUGGGCACUAGGUGCAGGUCCGAAAGGGGCUGUGUCGUAGCUAACGCAAUAAGUACUCCGCCUGGGAACUACGGCCGCAAGGCUA